rfam:Mucor circinelloides f. lusitanicus CBS 277.49 MTCCIscaffold_03, whole genome shotgun sequence.
GCUGAUUUGGCCGAGUUGGUCUAAGGCGCCGCACUCAAGUUGCGGUCUCGCAAGAGGCGUGAGUUCGAAUCUCACAGUCAGCA